UACGUAGGGUGCGAGCGUUAAUCGGAAUUACUGGGCGUAAAGCGUGCGCAGGCGGCGCGUUAAGACAGGUGUGAAAGCCCCGAGCUUAACUUGGGAAUUGCGCUUGUGACUGGCGUGCUGGAGUGUGGCAGAGGGGAGGUGGAAUUCCACGUGUAGCAGUGAAAUGCGUAGAGAUGAUGGAGGAACACCGAUGGCGAAGGCAGCCUUCUGGGCCAACACUGACGCUCAUGCACGAAAGCGUGGGGAGCAAACAGG
rnacentral:rRNA from 1 species